AAAACCGUCACUGAAGAGUCAUGGUGGGGCCCGGGCCUACCGCCGCUGCAGCUGUCGAAGAGCGGCAGAGGAAGCUUCAGGAGUACCUUGCAGCCAAGGGAAAACUGAAGAGCCAAAACACCAAGCCUUAUCUAAAAUCCAAGAAUAAUUGCCAGAAUCCACCACCUUCUAAAUCUGUCCAUCAGCAUUAAACUCCAGCCCAGACCACCUAAUACUACAGGGUCCCAGAAGCCGAAGUUGGAGCCACCAAAACUUCUGGGCAAAAGACUGACUUCAAAAUGUGUUUCUUCUAACCCAUACUCUAAGCCUUCUAGCAAGAGUUUUCAACAGCGUGAAGCUGGAUCGUCCACAACAGGAGAACUGUCAAGAAAACCCGUGGGAUCACUUAAUAUAGAGCAAUUGAAAACUACAAAGCAGCAGUUAACAGAUCAAGGAAAUGCUAAAUGUAUAGACUCUGUGAAUAAUACCCAUGUUGAAAACAAAUCUUUCGAUAACUUUCUAAAAGAAACAAACAAAGAGAACUUGCUCGAUAUCUCAACAGAACCUGAGAGGAAGCC
rnacentral:sRNA from 1 species